UGCUGAAAUUACUAUCUAUCUAACUAUCUAUUUACUAACUUUAUUUCAGACCCAAUAAGUCCAUAUCAUUCAACAAGAUCAGUAUUAUUAUUAUUAAUUUGUUAGCCCAGACAACAGUAACGGUGUCAUUACAUUUUAAGGGGUGCACAAGGGUUAAGUAAAGUUUAUACAUCGAAGCACUGCAACCUAGUUAUUUUACUUCAUGACUGCAUGUUAAAGAAGGAAACAAGGCAAAGUUGAGAAAACUUUAUAAUAACAAUAUUUAUAACAACAAAUACAACAAUAAUAAUGUAACAAUAAUAAUACUUUUUAUAACAACAAAUAAAACAAAUUUUUGAACGGCUGCAACAGCAGAUAUAAAAAUAUAAUACAAUAAAAAAUUUCAACUAUAUACACAAAUUUACAAGUUGGAUGGGGGGGGGGGGGGGCAUGGCUGAAACAGAGGAGCCUGGCUCGUUCCCCCCCGAGGCUGUCACCCCAGCUAAGGUUCCACUGGUUCCAAAUUCAGUGUGAAAUCCUGAGCUUCAAAAACUAAUUUAUACAUUUGAAAUUUAACUUGCUCCUUAGCCUGGGGUGACAGCCUCGCGAGGGAAGGAGCCAGGCUUAGGAGGAAAUGCUCCUCCUCGGGAUAGCGAGAUGUGGGUGGUGGUGGUGGUGGAGGGGGAGUCUGCUGCCUCCUCAGGGCCUGACAGAGGAGCUCCUCAAUCUCCUCCAGUCGUGAGGAGGGAGGCGUCCUCCUCUUCCUCCCUGUCAUAAAAAAAAACUAAUCAGUUACUAUUUGUUUUAUAAUUUCUAUGUGACCUUGAGCAAUUUCAUUGAAUAUAUGGUUAAUAUUUAAUUUCUAUACCUCUUGGCCUGGCUGCAGUGGGGCCCGAGGCAUCACUUGCCGCAGUUGAGGGAGCAGGAGAAGCUGACGGGGCAGGAGAGGGAGCUGAAGCAGGAGAUGGAGCUGGGGCAGGAGAAGGAGCUGAAGCAGGAGAGGGAGCAGGCUUAUCUUUAGUUAAAGUUGUGACAAAAAUGUCUGAAAUCAAAACUCUGCAAUCAGGCAACAUUGUUAUUCAAAUAAAAAAUGUUCACACAUUACAUGUGCAUGACUUGAUCUGUCCAUCUUAAAUUAGACUACAAUGGUGUGUUUAAACCAUGAGGGGACUCAAAUUUAUUUGCUAUGUUUUUCACUCAUCAACCAACCGUCAAACUCCACUCCUGAGGGGCCUGCUUCCUCCAGGUCUUCAGGCAUCCCAGCAGAAGAAGCAGCAUUUUCUGCGGUGAAGUCUUCCUCGACCUCCCGAGACAUGUUGCUUGAUGUGUCCCUCGGGGCAAUAAAGGGGUCGAGGAAGGACAUCACCGCAGUGAAACGCCACUUCCUCUGCUGGGAAGCCGCCGACCCGCUUCUCCCGCCUUCUUUCUCCCUCCUUUUCUCCCUCAAGUAAACGUCCCGCAGCCCCUUCCACCGCUUGCGGCACACAUCCACUGCAAAGACACACACACAUACGUUGAAACAUGUAGCCUAGCAUACAGGGGCAGUUAGCUAUGUUUUCAUAAAACUGUCCGCUCACUGAAAUAAAUACACAAACAAACUUACCAGAAAGCCUGACAUCAUGGGCCACCUUCACCCAUGCCUCGUCCUUGGAGGUGCGGUCCCGGUACAGUCCGCACCCCACGUCGUACAGGACCGGGUGGAAGCUUACCGCCGUGAUUAACUGUUCCUCCAUUGUUUGAUUUUUGAUUUUCCCCUCCUCCUCCUUGCUUCGCCCGUUUGUUGACGUCAGCAGAGCCCUGAUUGGCUGUCGCGGCACGGAGUCGUGGCUAGUCGCUCCCAAAGUUCAAAUAUUUGAACUUUGGGAGCGACGCGACUUGGCGUCCUGCGACCUCGGCGACGCGACCAUGCGCGACCUCGGCGACCAUGCGCGACCUGGUCGCCCGGUCGCGCAUGGUCGCGUCGCAGGAAGCCGGCGGUCGCCAAGUCGCGUCAGGUCGCGGCUGUUCAUAGACUUUGCAUUGGGAGCCGUCGCUGAAGUCGCGGAGGUCGCGUCUGGUCUGAACGCGGCUUAAGAAUGUCCAAAUAAAACUGUUUGUCACAUUUCUCCAUAUCACUACUUUUCAUUCAUUUGCUCGCUCUUAUCACCGGCAUCUCAUCUCCAUCGAUCUCACCAUGCCUUCUCUCCUAAUUCCCAUCAUCUGACCUAAUCCUUACUCCUGAUUGGAUUGGCUGUAACCCUCCUGCUACGGAAAACUCACAGGUCCAAAAAAUAUAACAGAGUAUAAACAUUUGCUAAACAUUCUGUCAGUAUCUGAGGUUAAUUCUUUACAGAUAUGUAUAUUUGUGUACAAAUGCAUGUAUGAUCAUCACAAUCUACCAAAAAGUUUUAAAGGUUUCUUCUCCUUUAAUUCAGAGAUUUAUUCUUAUGUGACACGUCAAUCAAAGGACCUUCAUGUACCUUAUUGUCAUACUUCCACUAGGCAGUUUUCAAUAAGAUACAGAGGAUCUAGGUUAUGGAAUGCCACUGACCCAAAGCUUAAAGAAUCCUCAUUACCAGUCUUCAAAGCCAACUACAAAAAAAUGUUGAUCGCCAAAAAAUAGUUCUUCAAUGUAUCAACUUGUAUGGUAUUGUCUGUGGAGUUUGAGUUUGUACUUGCAUGUAUCUUACUAUAUGUAUCUUAUUGUUUAACAUUUUAACUGAAGUAUUACUAUGUAUAAUCUAUAUACUGUAUAGAUUAAUAUAAUGUAUUAAUCUUUUAUGUGUUAUAUGGUUCUAAUGAUUGUUAAUUGAGGGGAAGUUCUUUAUAAGCCUUUAGGCUUCCAAACUUCUCCCGCACAGUAUUGUAACACAGAUGUAUUUUGUUGUAUUUUUUUUUUUGCAUGUGCAAAUAAUCAAAAUCAAAUCAAAAUCAAAAAAAAUCAAACACAGUAAAUAAAAUACUCUUAGGCAAUAUCAAGGCAUGUAAAUAACCGAAAACACCCAUUUCUUUUCAACAAUAAACAAUGUCACAAAAUAUCUUAUUCACAAAACAAUACCUCUUUCACCAUAUCUUUUUUUUUUUUUUCUUAUUUUACACUUACGACACCAUUUCAAUAACGACUCUUUAUUAUGUCUCUUCUUAUUAACCCAAAAUAAUAACAGGGUUACAUAAUAAUAAUAAUAAAAAAAAUAUAACACGCUUUUACAGGUGCUCAAGACGCCUAACAAAGAAGAAAAUAUAAUAAAAAACACCAUUUUAAAUACAGAAAAUUUUGAAAAUAAAACCAAUGAUGUCGAAGGUUAAAAAAGACACAAUCUGAGAAGAUAAUAAAAGAACAGUUCACAGGUUUAAAGCCAAUUUAAAUAGAUGUGUUUUAGGGAGUGAUUUAAAAGUAUGGGGGUCGAAGGACAGGGGUGAUGUGUUGUAGGGAGUUGGUGCAGGUGAGCAGGCGGGCAGCAGUGUUCUGGAUGCAUUAGAGUUUAUUGAGGACUUUGGAUGAUGAGCCGUAUAGGAUACUGCUGCAGUAAUCUAGUCUGGAUGUUAUGAAUGCAUGGAUCAGGGUUUUGGCAGCAGAGAAGGUGAGUGAGGAGCGGAGAUGGGCAAUAUUUUUGAGGUGAUAGAAGGCGGUCCUGGUGAUGUGGUUAAUAUGGUGGUCGAACUUGAGUUGGCUGUCAAAGAUGACUUCAAGGUUCCGGAUGUGAGGGGAGGACGACGGUCAUACUGGUGUGAGAUGUGGGUCCGACGAUGAUGAUGAUGAUGUUUAAUUUGUCACUGUUCAAUUUCAGGUAGUUUUUUUGCAUCCAUUUUUAAAUUUCAGUGAGACAGUUGCUGAGUGUGGAGUAGGUGGUUUUGGUAAUGGAGGGGACAAAGCACCAAUCCCUGGAGGAUGCCUUGUGACAGAGGAGCGGUGGUGGAGGUGCAGUUGUUUACGCUGAUGAACUGGUGAUGGUCGGUGAGGUAGGAGUGGAUCCAGGUGAGUACCAUGCCAGCAAUGUGGGCUGAGGAUUUCAGUUGGGCGAGCAGGAUGGAGUGGUUGAUGGUAUCGAAGGCUGCUGUGAGGUCAAGGAGGAUGAGGAUGGUAAAGUGUCCAGAGUCUGAGGAGAGGAGGAGGUCGUUGGUGAUUUUGAGGAGAGCUGUCUCUGUGCUGUGUUGUGAUCGGAAACUGGAUUGAAAGCAUUCAAAUAGAUUACUGCAGGUGAGGUGGGUUCUUAGUUGAGAGGCUACAGCGAGUUCCGGAAUUUCUGGUAGGAAGGGGACAUUGGAGAUAGGGCCGAAGUUACCAGGAUUGUCAGUGUUGAGACCAGAUUUUUUGAUGAUCGGUGUAAUGGCAGCCAGUUUGAGGGUUUGGGGAACAGAACCAGAACUGAGGGAGGUAUUAAUGAUGUCGGUGAUGAGUGGGGAGAUGACAGAGAGGUAGUCCUUGAUGAGUUUGGAUGGGAUGGGGUCCAGGGUGCAGGUGGAGGUUUUUAUCCCAAUCAUGAGAAUUGUCAGCUGUGCUAGAGUUAUUGGAGAGAACUGUGACAGGAGCUGGAUGGUGGCAGGUGGUGAGGCAGGUAGUGAGAUGGGAGGGGUUCCAGAAAUGUUGAGGUUACUGUAGAUGAUGUCUAUUUGUGUUUGGGAGUAGGAGAGGAAUGAUUGGCACUUUUCAGUUGUGAAUGAUGAGGGAGUGUUGUCAUGGGGUUUGAGGAGUGAGUUUAUGGUGGAAAAAAGAGCCUUGGGGUUGUUUGAGCCUGAGUGAAUGAGGUUGGAGUAGUAGUUAGUCCAGGCAGCGUUGAGCGCAUCUUUGUAUUUUUGUAGGUGGUCUGUGUAGGCGAGAAGGUGAACAGAUAAUCCAGUUUUCUUGCAGAGUCUUUCCUGUUGGCGUUUAUGGGAUUUCAUUUGGCGGAGUGCGGGGGUGUACCAGGGAGCAGAGUGGGUGAAUGAGACAGUUUUUGUUUUGGCGAGGGCAAGCUGAUCCAAGCAGGAGGAGAGUGCGCUGUUGUAAUAGUUGACCAGCUCAAUGGGGUCAUCAGAGGGCAAGGGAGGUGAGGCAGACAGACAGUGGGUGAGAGUGGCUGAGAGAGCUGCAAGUGAGAGGGAGUUAAGGUUUCUGAAGGUUAUUGUCUGGCUCUGGAUUGGGGCAGGGAUUUCAAUGUUCAUUAUGAUUGCCAGGUGAUGAGAAAGCAAAUUGUGACUGGAUAAAUGUUGAAUGUUGAGUUUAGUGGAGCAAACCAAGUCCAGGAUGCUACCACGGCAGUAUGUUGGGAAGGUUACACAUUGAGUAAGGUUGAGGCAUUAGAUCUAAACAUUCUGAGGCUGGUUUAUUGUCUGUGCUGUCAAUAUGUAGAUUGAAGUCGCCCAGGAGGAGGACAGAUGGUGAGAUGGCAGGUAACUGGGUCAGAAAGUCAGCAAAAUUUAGAGAGGAAGGAGGGAUGUGGUUUUGGGGGGCAAUAAAUGAUGGCUGUGACCAGAGGAGAAGGACCAGACAUUUUGUAGGUGAGGUGUUCAAAUUAAGGGGGUGGAGGAAUGGGGAUGGUGGAUGUUUUGAUGUUUUCCUGAAGAUGGCAACAAUGCCACCUCCCCGGUGUGGGUGUGCGGGGUUUGUCCAUAUAAGUGUAGCCUGUGGGGGUGGCUUGGUUUAGUGAGAAAUAGUCUAGAGGUGUUUGCCAGGUUUCCAUUGCCAGGAAGAGUGGAGUCUGAGGCUGUGUCCAAAAUGAAUCACUCAAUUCCUAACCCUUAACCCCCCAUAUGGGAUUUUACUAUUUAGUAACAUGGCAUGAAGCAGUGCAUGACGGGAUGCCCACCACUGGUGAAUGACCAUCGGAUGGUCACUACAUUUUGCUAUGCUCUAUGGGAAAUUUUGAGUUGCCUAUAUAGGGCACUGCAAUUGACCACUGAGAUUUCGGACACGCCUCAAAAUGGCGCUAACCCCCAUGUAGUCACCUAUAUAGGGGGUUAGGGAUCCAUUUCAGACACAGCCUGAGUCCGCGCUGUGAGAAAAUGAUUUGGAGUGAGGAUGGACUGGGCUGGCAGCGGGGACAGCAGUUGGGACUGGAGAGGGAGCCCUCGACACCGGUCCUGGGCAAGGGGGAAUCCCAGGGUGGCUGGGCGCGGCUGCUUUCAGGAGCUUUUGGUGGGGUGCGUGAGUGAAGGUGGCUGGCUUUGAUGGCAGAGCAGAGUGGUCCUUUUUAAGUGGGGGAAAGCUGUCUUCAUCCAGGAUGGAAAACCUAUUGGACAAUUUGAGGGCUGAGGAUGUAGGUGUGCUUUUCUGGAGAGUAUUACACCAUCCCUUCCGACAGGAUCCGGUAUCGGGAGUGAAAUUGACCAGCGCCUUGGGCUUAGCUCCUAGCUGGGACCAGUAAGCUGUGUCCGUGGUUGCAGGAUUUUUUGGAGACAGGAGUGGGACCGUUGAGUCUAAUGUGCUCCUCUUCCUUCAGCUGGUAGAGCGUGGACAUCCUCCCUUCCAGCUCGGCGAUCCUCUGGCUAAGCCAGUGGAGCCAUGUCACGAUGGGGUUGGUGGAGGUUUUUGUGGAUGAAAUAAGCAGAACUGUGGCCAGUAACGGAGUUGGAAUAGGUGAAGGGUUGUGUUUGUUUAUGGUGGUAAGUUUAGGUCGGUGAGGUCAGCAGAGAUAGUGGCACAGGUAGAGACUUAUACGCGAGGGCUCCACAGAGGGAGCCCAUGGCGGAGAGUAGAUUCAGUAUAAAUACACAGGUCAGGGUUGAUCAGUGAGACUUACUGGUGCAGGCCCAUACACUGGGCUUGGUGAGUCAGAUCGGCCUCCGGUAAGCCGUGUUGUCGGUCCUUGUGGGGGUUAUCCCAGUGCUACAGUUAGCACCAUCUUGGUGAAGUGUCUCAGGGGAAAAAGUUGAGGCAAGUAGUUCAAGGAGUCCUCAAACCCGGCAGGGUAGAGUUUUUUGUUUAUUGACACUUUAUUUCUGCAAUUUUGUUUAAGACAAAUGUCUUUCAAUGAUUCAUGAAAAAAAAAACACCAAACCAAGCAAUUAAAAACACUGUAAAUGACCUGUUUUCCUCAGAUCACGGUUUGACUAGGAAACCGGUUUUUACUAGGGCUACCAUCUUGGUUUAGUAGUGUGUCAUACUACAUAAGUCAACUGUUUAGAUUGUAGGUGUUAUAUAGUAAACUGUCAUCAUUUCAGGUUUACAAUGUAGCUUUACCGGACUUGCUGAUGUUUUUUUCCUUUUUUUUCUUCAUUGAUGUUAGUUUUGGCAUAUACUAUACUACUUACUAUAUACAAGAAGCAGAAAGUGCAGACAAAAGAAAAUGCCUUGUGUGUCAUGAUUGCAUUUUGCAACUCAGGUUAUGUGUGUGAAUCUCUGUGAUCAAAUGAUCAGCUCGUUAUCAAGCUCUGGAAUGGCUUAAUAACAAGCUGAUCAUUUGAAUCAGGUGUGUUGGAGCAGGGAAACAUCCAAAACAUGUAGGACGGGGGGGGGCUCAAGGACUGGACUUGAGAACCACUGCUUUAAGCCCUGCCUGGAAGACUGCAGAUCGCCAGGGGCCUCAUGUAUCAUCGCUGGCGGCGCCAGAAAACCGUGCGUUCGCCAAGAUCGGCGCACACGUCCAGAUUUAUCAUCGCGACACGAGCGUCGGUUCCAGCGCAAAUCCACGCAAAGUGAGGAGGUGGUGUAGAAGUUGGCGUUGAGCCGAUACUUGCGUUGACGGCACUUUGGCGACGCUGUGUGGCGGUGUUUGGUGACUCACUAUGUGACAAGCGUUCACACAUCGCAGUGGACCUGCACCACAUCCCCGUGGCCGAGCAGCACGUCGCCCCACAUGAGGAACCAGCAGCAGACGGCGGGAUGCGAGCUGAUACCUGCCGGGCCGCCGUCCUCGCGCAGGUGAAUCUCAUCGCCACAAUGUGAAUGGGUAAGAAGUGAAUACACAGUUCAAUGAGCCAAAUUAAUUUAUUUUCUCCACCAGACACUCGAGGACAUUUACGAGCCGGUCCAGCCUCUCGUUGAUCCCCGCGAUCCCCCUGAUGAUUUCUUCCUGCGAUUGCAGGACCGCCUCCGUGAGGACCCUUCCACUGCGUCCGGGUGGUCCAGUCGGCGCGCUGGUGCUGGUGCUGGGGGCCGGGGUGGCCCAAAUGCCGCUGGUCCUGGCCGACGACUCCGAGCCGGCGGACGGGCUGCCGCGGGCCGGGGUUCCGCAAGCCAGCGACACGGCCGACACAUUGAUUUCUGUGACACAAUAAAAAUAUUGGUUCAUUUCAAUUCCUGCUUCUGUGUAUCUGUUGCGUUUACAUCUAUGGCAAAGCAUGUGGACAUUUGUGUGACACGCCACUUACCCUCCGGCAGGCUGUCUGAGUCGCCGUGGGUAGCGGCGACAAUCCCCCCCACAGAGGCGCCCCCCAUAAUCGCCACCACCUGCUGCUCAAACAGCGUGAGGGUCUCCUCCCACGGACCCCCACCUGUCUGGCCGGUACUCCUCUGGAGGGCAGCUGUACGCCGCUUGACCUCCACCUUUUUUUUUUAUUUUUUUAUUUUUUUUAUUUAACAACAAAACAGAGUGACGACAACAACAGAAACAACAAAAAGAUAAAAAAUAAAAAAUUUACAAAAAUACUUUUGUGAGGGAGGGGAGGGGGAAGGAAUUCAUAUAAUAUGUAAAAGAGAAUUUAAAAAGAAAAGAAAAAAAAUCUUAAUUGGAUUACAUUGGAAUAUCUAUAUAAUAAUAAUUAUAUGUAUACAUAUACAUACACAUACAAACAUACAUGCACACAUACAUACACACAUAUACAUAUAUAUAUACACAUAUACACCCACACACACACAAUCCCCCCGAAUCACUGACACAACAGCGAUGCUACAACAACCACAAUAGCAUUAGCAAUAACAACACCAGAAAUACCGGCGACAGCGAUAACAGCAAACAAAUGACCGCAACGACACUAACAAUAAUGAGAGUCAUACUAAUGAAAUUAUGGAACAACAAAAGCCACCACAAUCCACAACACUAUGGCCCGGGCCAGAGGCCGGCCCGGCCCCCCGCACCACCAAAAAAGCAGGCCGACCGGCACCCACGUCCACCGUGGUGGGACGCCCGCGGGGCACCCCACAGGGCCCCGCCCCGCGGCCACCCGCCUGACCUCCACCUUGAGGUCCAACCACUUUUUUAUAAUCUCCGCGGGGGUGCGUGUCUCGGAACCCACCGCGUUCACCCUCUCUCAAACUUUCUCCCACUCCAAGCGUUUUCGUUUUGCACUGACGCCACUGGACAGGCUGCCAAACAAAACACGCUGUCGCUCCUCCACCUCGCACACCGUAAAUUUUGUUUUUCUUGUCAUUUUGUCUGCGUGCGAGGACAGGGAGACCCUAUUUAAAUAAAUCUGCAUAUUUAUAGGUGGGCGUAACGGGGGCGGGUCCGAUAACUCUGAAAUCUGCGCUCAAUUCCUAACUGAUUGGGAUUUAUCAAGGAAACACUCGUGGCUUUCGGCGCCCGCACACCUUGAUACAAAAGAAUUUUUUUCAGCGUGACGGACCUUGCGUGCGCUCGUUUCUGGUAUGAGUCCCACGCAAGUGUUGAUACAUGAGGCCCCAGAUGAUUCCAGCUUUUACAACGGCAUCUUGGCUAGUCUUGAGCAAAGUUCUUGUACUUUGAUGAAUAUUUACCUGUGUUUAAAGUGACCUGUGACUAAUCUCCGCUCUCCUCCUUUUCUCCUCCAGUGCCUCCACUCACUAGCGUUGCCCAACCUCUGCCACGGCUGCCACACUGUAUCACUUAUUCAAUCACCUGCACACCUGAAAGC
rnacentral:lncRNA from 1 species